GCCAGCUUGGCCGAGAGGUUUAAGGCGCCAGACGUAGUCUCUGGUUCCCGCAAGGGAGCGCGGGUUCGAAUCCCGCAGCUGGCG
rnacentral:tRNA from 1 species